GACGAACGCUGGCGGCGUGCCUAAUACAUGCAAGUAGAACGCUGAAGAGAGGAGCUUGCUCUUCUUGGAUGAGUUGCGAACGGGUGAGUAACGCGUAGGUAACCUGCCUUGUAGCGGGGGAUAACUAUUGGAAACGAUAGCUAAUACCGCAUAACAACGGAUGACACAUGUCAUUUAUUUGAAAGGGGCAAUUGCUCCACUACAAGAUGGACCUGCGUUGUAUUAGCUAGUAGGUGAGGUAAUGGCUCACCUAGGCGACGAUACAUAGCCGACCUGAGAGGGUGAUCGGCCACACUGGGACUGAGACACGGCCCAGACUCCUACGGGAGGCAGCAGUAGGGAAUCUUCGGCAAGGGGGGCAACCCUGACCGAGCAACGCCGCGGGAGUGAAGAAGGUUUUCGGGUCGUGAAGCUCUGUUGUAAGUCAAGAACGGGUGUGAGAGUGGAAAGUUCACACUGUGACGGUAGCUUACCAGAAAGGGACGGCUAACUACGUG
rnacentral:rRNA from 1 species